UCCCUUGGCCUUGGCCUUGGCCUUGGCCUUGGCCUGCGCACGGCGGCCGUACGGGGCCCCGGCCGGGCCGCCCUGCCCUGCCGCCCGCCUGAAGGAGCGCAGGCCGCGGGGAGACCCCUCGCGAGGGGCAACGGAGUGCGGGCUGGCUGGCUGUGGACAUCUUUCACACCCGGCGGCCGGUGCUCUGUCGCGGAUGGAGUGAUGCGCUUGACUCGUAAAAUUCAGCUGUACUGCUGCAAAACCACUGCAAAUCAUAUGGUCAUCAAGAAGUGCAAUGCUCCUAAACACCUGUGAAGGUACUAUUUCAGACCACUGAAAUCAGUUCAAGUUCUGAAUAAGUUUGCUGGCCAAAAGACAACUUCAAAUAAAUGCCUGAAGAAUCUGACAGUUAUGCUGAACACCAUGAAACGCGGGCCGCAGGAUCUUGGAUCUCAAAGCUAACGGGCAGAACCUGCUCUAUAAAGCAUGAAAAACAGCAUAAGGAUAAUGAUAAUCAAAUACUACAAAGGAACCACAGACCAAUCCAUUUUCUCAGAAAAAAGCAUUAAUGAGGAUACGAAGAACUGUGGAUAAACAGAUUUCUCAAUACAGAAUACCCUCUUACAACCAGGGUUUAAUUUGUGAGAAGCUGGAAGACUUGAGAUACAAGAUAUCACUUGGGAAACCAGGUGUGCCAAAUAUGAAGGCAUUUUAUUCUCGCUUGGAUAAGAGACAAGGUUGAUGUGGAGCUGGGAACUCAGCCAAACAGAUGUGCUCCAACACGUCAGAGGGGUGGAAAAGCAGCAACUGGGGAAGAAACGUGACUGUUCUGCAAUCACCGAGUCUCCAGCCUUCCUUUGCGACGUGCCUCACUGCUGUGGAAUUAGGCACACAGGACCGGAAUGACUUCCUGCAUCAUCAAACAUGAAUCUCCCAAUUAUCACAGGCACCCUUCUUGGGUGGUGGGAAUUUUUAUACCUUAUCUAAAACAAACAUUCCCCCUUCCCUAGUUUUGUGAGAGUCAGCUCCCUACACCAACAGACAAGUGGGGAGGCACAUAUCAGCCCCAGUCCUGAUGAGAGUGUGCCUGUGUUCAAGCCCUCAGCCCCUUGUCAUGAUCACUGACGCCACCACUCAGGGGGCAAUAAAUAUUUUUAGAGGGACCCCUUACAGAACUACCCCAUCAUCCAAAUAGCAGGAGAUCUCAAAAUCCUUACCUUCAGAAUUCCCUCUCUCCUCUAGCAGAAAGCACCCUAACUGCAUCAUCUUUCAAAAAGAAGCAAAUCCAGAGUUUUACUUAAAGUACCAAAAGGUUCUUCCUAAGAAAAUUUAUUUCAGGAGACAGCUGCUCUGGUGGGCAGGGUUCACUUCCCAGCCAGCUACCCAGCUUAUUCUUGUGCUAAUGCUGGCUGUUGGCAUAGAAUUACUCCAGAAUUAACACUUCUGUUGAUCAUCGCUCAUUUUGGUUGAUUAAAAAGUCAAGCUUUUAGACUUACCAGAACACAAGACAGAGAACAGAACCUGCCAGUUAUUCUUUAGUCCUGGUUUGGUUUACUACUUCACUAAUAAUAGCCAGAACCUUACAACAUUGACAAUAAAGUUUUACUGUUACUUGUAAAAUAAUGGUUAAUUAGGUUUUUAAAAUUUUAUUUACUUCUUUCUGUAGCUGGAACAUGGGGUGCCACAGUCAUCCAGAAAUCAACUAAUGCAGCAUAGGCUUAUUCUCCUUUUCAGUCAGAAAUUUAAUGUUAAACACACACACACAUGACCAUCUACACCUUUUAGCUUCAAGACAAAGUAUUAUUAGCAGACAUAGAAAGAAAUGAGAUUUCUGCUCUCCAAACCAAGCACACAAGUAGUUCCUUUCUGCAUUCAUUGUAGCAGUUUCAUCAGCAUGGAAAUAGCAUUUUUGGUUUCUUAUAGCCAAGAGUUGUUAAGCCUUUAACUCCCCAAUAAUCCAUCA